UACGUAGGCAGCGAGCGUUGUUCGGAGUUACUGGGCGUAAAGGGUGUGUAGGCGGUUGUUUAAGUUUGGUGUGAAAUCUCCCGGCUCAACUGGGAGGUGCGCCGAAUACUGAAUGACUAGAGUGUGGGAGAGGAAAGUGGAAUUCCCAGUGUAGCGGUGAAAUGCGUAGAUAUUGGGAGGAACACCAGUGGCGAAGGCGGCUCACUGGACCGGUACUGACGCUGAUGCGCGAAAGCGUGGGGAG
rnacentral:rRNA from 1 species